rfam:Triticum urartu cultivar G1812 contig282191, whole genome shotgun sequence.
AAAGUACUCCCUCCGUCCCAAAAUUCUUGUCUUAGAUUUUUAUAGAUACGGAUGUAUCAAGUCACAUUUUAGUAUUAUAUACCUCCGUAUCUAGACAAAUCUAAGACAAGAAAUUUGGGACAGAGGGAGUAGUUG